UAAGCUGCUCAAUGAAAAUGUUAUAAAAGAUUACCUACACUAUGAGUAGGUGCAACUUUUCCAGCUUAUGUUUUGUGUUGCCUUUAGAAAGAAACCCAUUUUUCUUACUGUUUUUAAUUUUUUAUUUCACAAAAUCUCUAUAUGUGUGUCUUAUUAUGUCUUACAUAAUAGAGACUAUAACAUGGUAGAAAUAAGGAGGAAUCUUACUUUUUCCUUAUAUUUACAUAAAAAUCUGGAUAUGUACAAAUGGUUCAUAUUGAGUUGAUCUGCUAAAGCACAUUCUUGGUAAUAUUCUUCUAGAGAGAAUAGCUAGAACACCAAUUAACAUAUUGUAUAUUCAUAUACUGUGUACAUUCAAGUUGGCAGGAAGUUGCUUUAAGAAAAGCUUAUUAAUUGGUAUGAGUGAAGUCUCACUAAAGAGGAAAGUGGAGAAUUGAAAAGGGGUGCAGAACUCUUUAGAAAAAUAAAAUAGGAAAGCAGAGCCCAUCAAAGAAAUCAGGACCAGGAACUAGAGAGGGCCUGCAAAGGGUUUAACAUUUCAGAAUUUUCCUUGGCCUUUGUUGACAGCCUAUUUAUAAUGUGGUUGCAAGAAUAUUUUUUCUUCACUAUAUUUUGAGAUAUCCUCAAAUUUCUGGUUUAAAAAAUGAGUGGUAUCAGGGAGAAUUCAGAAACUAUUAUAGGUAAAGUGUUGUACUUAGCUCCAGGCUGUACUGGAGCCAGUGGUAGCAUUUUGGGGAGAAGCCAUGCUUCAUUCAGGGAGCAGGUAACUGUGUGGCCUGACUCAGUGUAUAAUUGCUAUGUAAUUGAGACCCUCUUAAUCUCUUCCCCUCAGAUGUACUUGAAGAAGCUCAUCCUGGAAAGGGAGGGACUUUGCUCAUACAAUGAAACAUAAAGGGUGUAGGCUUCUUGACAAGUAAUUAUUGGUAAUAUGUUUUUUUUUUUUUGUCUUUUCUGGGGCCGCUCCUGGGGCAUAUGGAGGUUCCCAGGCUAGGGGUUGAAUUGGAGCUGUAGCCACUGGCCUACACCAGAGCCACAGCAAUGCAGGAUCCCAGCCGUGUCUGCAACCUACACCACAGCUCACGGCAAUGCUGGAUCCUUAACCCACUGAGCAAGGCCAGGGAUUGAACCUGAAACCUCUUGGUUCCUAGUUGGAUUCGUUAACCACUGAGCCAUGACGGGAACUCCUGGUAAUGUGUUUUUAAUGUCAAAUGAAAUCAAUAAAAUAUUCCUGUUUCCAGUGUCACAUCCUUCAAAUUGUUCUUCCUACAGAGGGAAGAUCACCAAAGUGAUAUUUAAUAGUCUAAUUUCCUAACUUAAAAAUUCUUCAAGAACUAAUAGUGACCUGCAGGAUAAAAUCCAAACUAUUUUGUAGCAUAUCUAAGUCUUCCCAGCAUCCCACCCCUUCCUCCUCUCUCAUUUCCUCAUCUUCUCCUUCAGGAAAAGUUUCCUUUGGUCCAUUUCCUACUGUCUUCUUAGGGUACUGUAUUUAUCAAUAGCAGCAUUUAUAUUUUUCUGCCUUUAUGGAUUUUCUCCUUCACUUGACUGUGGUCUCCACAAGAGCAGGAGUUAUGUCUUCCAUCUCUAUAUUCUGUGUACAGUUCCUUGGCUAAUAUGCAUUAAUUAACAAGGAAUAUUUUUGAAUGAGGUGGCUUGUUGUCCUGAUGCCUAUUUCCCUCUUACACCUUCUUCAGUGUUAAGUGUGUCCAUGUCCAUCCAGGUCCACGUGAUAUUCUCAGUCUCCUUUUUAGUUAGGUAUGGACACAUGAAGAUAUUCUGAACAGCAUGAGUGGAAAUGCUGGAUGCAAUUAUAGCGUGAAAUUAAAUUUUUAAAAAUGGAAACCCUUCACUUUCUCUUUCCAUUUGCUAUAGGCUAGGAAGCAGAUAUGGGCUGGUGAGCCAGAUUUAACUUUAAUGAAGGUACAUCAUGCUACAAAAGGGAAAACAGGUAGAAGGAACCUCGGAAAACUUGCUGGAGUAAAUCCCCAUACUCCUCUUGGAGUGCUUACACACCUUUGGACAUGAGGAAAAAAUCUUUUUACUGUGGCUUAGCUUAUACUCUAGCAUAUCUGGGAGUGUACUGUGUACUCUAUCUGUGUUGCUGCUUUUGUGGGACUGAACAGAAGUUCAUUCUAUUUGCUGAUUUUAAUUAUUUAAAAGAAUCACCCUGAAUCUUUUUUAUUGAGGCAACUUCCCCAGGAUUAAUCUUUAAAAUAGUAACAUACUAGAGUUCCUAUCAGGGCUCAGUAGUAACAAACCCAACUAGUAUCCAUGAGGACGCAGGUUUGAUCCCUGGCUUCACUCAGUGGGUUAAGGAUCUGGCAUUGCUAUGAGUUGUGGUGUAGGUCACAGACAUGGCUCGGAUCCUACAUUGCUGUGGUUGUGGUGUAGGCCGGCAGCUACAGCUCUGAUUUGACCCCUCGCCUGGGAACUUCCAUAGGCCAUAGGCGUAGCCCUAAAAAGACAAAAAAAAAAGUCACAUGCUUAAUUUUGGAGAUAGAAAAAUUUGGAGUCUGUGCCAGAGUUCUUGCUUACCUAACAUUAAAUAGAAAGUCCUUCAGCUAGCAAGUGACUAGGACUGAGUUGUCCUUUAGAACUCCUAUGUUACACAAUAUACCCAAGAUUUUCUGGAUUUUUAAUCAAAUGGUUUUUCAGUUAAAUAUCCUCACAAUGCGACCACAGGGAUGAUCUAGUAUAAUUAAUGUCCACUUAACAGAAAGCUUGGUGAAGUCAUGAACAUUCUGUUUUCUAAGUAGGCAUGAUCACUAAGGUUUAUGGUAUGCUGAAUUUUUGAUGAUGCUGAUGUACCACAAUUUGGGCUGUAGUCUUAACAAGAGUCACUUAUACAUGUUGCUAAACUUGUAUAUGCCAGUUAUGAGCCUGCAUAAUACCCCGGUUAAAGCACUGAAUCUGGAGUCAGACAGUUUGUGUUCUGGCCUCCUAUGUGCCAGUUGCAUGGUCUUGGAGAAGUUACUUCUGCUUUGUAGUGUUUCCUCAUUUAUUAAAUGGGGAUAAUAGUAGUAACUACAUCAUCAGGGUCUUGUGAGGAUUAUUUGUAUAAAUAUAAACAAAUUUCUUAGUAUAAAGAUAAUUUACUAUGAAAAAUUGACAAUAAGUAAAAACCCUUAAUAGAAGUUAGCUAAUUGUAUUCAUGUAAUCCAGUUAACUAUUGCAUAAACUGAUGAAACUUGAUUAUGCAAAGAAGUUGUUACAACUAUAGAAAUUAAAUCAAAUGCUUUAGAGGCAUUCCAAAGCAAUAAAUAUCACACACAUACACCAGGUGAAGCGUGGUCAGGAAUUUUUAACAGUUUGGAGGAAAAAUACAUGGUAUUUGUAAGGAUUCUGAAUUCAAACUGCAUUGCAACCAAUAUUAAAUAUAUCGAAAGAAGAAUUAGAAUAAAUGCUUUUUGUACAAGAAAAGCAACACAGAAUCCCACCCUAGGGAGUCAUAACCAAAGAAAAGGACUUUAUCCCACUGCAGAGAAUGAAUGCUCAUUAAUAUGUUUUAGAUUACAGUAAAACUUUUAGGUCUGUUUAUACUUAUUUUUAAAAAUUUUAUCCUAUUAAGUAAAUAAGCAUCGAUCAACUGAGUACCAGUGUUGUUCCUCUCUAUUAAAAUUACUUCAUUACUCAAACAGUUCCUAGUACCCUACCCCAGGUCAUUUCUGUUGCUUUACCUGAAUAUAAAAGGGAAGACUCCUUUCCCCAAAUUUUGUUUAAAAAGUCACAUUUUUUCCUUUUUCAUUUGGUAGGUUUUAAUUUGAAGAGGGUGACAUUUCCAGAAAUUAAAUAAUAAUUAAGAAGACAAAAACAAUGGAAUAGAUAAAAUCUGAAUUUAUUCAGGUAGAUAUGUGUCCUAUUGGCCAUUCCAAAUCUCUUCUACUUAAAUGUUAAAAUUCAAGCCCAUUUAUUAUUAUAAAAAGGAUAGAAAAAUAUUUUCAUAAAACUCAAUCUUUAAAAUAUCAGAAAAAUAUGUUAAAAAUUAAAUAUAUAGGUCUUUUGAGAUUUAAAAAUAAACAUUAAAAAAUUCCUUCUAAUUUUAUUAAAUUAAUUGUAUAAAGAAAUGUAAAAUAAACCUUCCCAUCUCUAAAGAAGUCUUUCUCUUGCUCAUUAUGUUAGUCCAAUUUCUAGUUCCAUGCCUGGCACAUAUUUGGUGCUUAUUAAAUACUUGUAUAUAUGAAUGACUGAAUCAACCAAUUAAUAAAUAAAGAUGUGCUCACUGUUCCCACACAGGUCAACAUUUAGGAAAACAAACCACAUAAAUACAGAUGAAAAGAUUAUUAAACAACAAUUUAGGUCAUAAAAGCAAAGUAAAUAAAACAGAUAUGCUAGGGUAUAUUUAAUCAACAUUGAAAUAUUGAAUAAAUAACUAAGGAGACUAGAGCUUUCCUCUUGUGUAGUAUAAAAUAUAAGUUGUCAUUGAUUAACUACAAUUGAGUUCAAAUAAGAGAAAUGCUACCAGACAAAUGAUAUAUUUCACAGUUAAAUGGCAUUUAUAUUUUCAAUAUUUUUAACAAUUUAGAUUAACAUUUUUUUAUGUUAUUAAAAUAUUGAAAAUUAUAAAUUGAAUUUAAUGGAUGUAAACUCAUUUUCAUUUCUUAAAAAACUUCAGAUCAUAUAUCUACAUAUUUGGAUAUCUAAAUAAUUAAAAUAUACUUACCUACUAGUUGGUAAGUUAAAGAAAGAUAAGCUUUAAGUUUUUAGUGUUUUGUACAAAAUUGCCUAUCUACUUUUCAUUAAAGUUAUUUGAUUAUGCAACUUAAUAAGCUUUACAAAAGAAUUUCUCUCAGAAUCAAAUUCUGCAGUGGUCUUUUGGUCUUCAGUUGGUUUUGGAUAAUUUCCAGAGUAACUCCUGGAAAAUUGGUUUUAGACUCCAUAGGGCUGAUGUCAUCAGCAACAGUUAUUCCCCGAGUAUUUCAUAUAAGGCAACCAAACAGGCAAUUAGUUUCUAACAAAUAUAGAGAGGUCUGUUUGCCAUCUUGUCAGGCUUUUUUUUUUUUUGGUGUGUGUUGGGGGGCGUCUAGAUUCAGUUAGAAACUACUAUUAGAAACUCUCUAAGCAUAGAAUAAAUGCACUUCUAAUAAACUAGAAUCUCCUGCUUCACUGAAUAGAGCAAAUGAUCUUUUACAAUAGUCUACAAUUUUUUGAACUUUGGUGAAAUGCAGUAGGUUGUAUACUUUGGUUUUUAGUUUAACUCUUUUCUUAUAGCUAAUAAUGCUGUUUUUAAAAGGUUAUAAUUACAAUGCAAUUUGUAAAAUGACAGAUGUCAUAGUUCUUAGUUGUCAAAGAAAAAAUUUCACUUAUAUAAUUAUAAGAUCAAAACUGACUUUCAAAUUUAAAUUUUGCAUUACAUGUUUUUCUAAGUUUUGAUAUGUAAGUUAUUAUAGAAGGUGACAGUUAGAGAAUGAUAACAUCCUAUCAAAAUUCACUUGGAAAUCUUGCACUUGAUGACAGUUCCAGGCAUGGGAUUAGUGAAUUACAGAAGCAUUACUUUUCUUGGAUCAAUGGUGCAUAUCUGAGAGUUUGAUGCCCAAAAUUCAUCCAAUUUUUGACAAAACCAAAAUAUCAAAAACAAAACAAUCAUGCUAGAUAUUCUGUAAGGAGAAAAGGAGGUUUUUGAUGAUAACUUUUUAAAAAUUAUUUUAGGGUUUUGAGAGAAGUGUGUGUGUGUGUGUAUAGUUUUUUUGGUCUUUUUUUUAGGGCCACACCUGCAGCACAUGGAGGUUCUCAGGCUAGGAGUUGAAUCGGAGCUGUAGCUGCUGGCCUACACCACAGCCACAGCAAUGGUGGAUCUGAGUCACAUCUUCGACCUACACCACAAUUCAUGGUGCUGGAUCCUUAACCCACUAAGCAAGGCCAGGGAUCGAACCUGCAUCCUCAUGGAUACUAGUCGGUUUUGUUAUUGCUGAGCCACGAUGGGAACUCCAAAGUUAUAUUUUUUUAAAAAGCUUUCUAACCAGAACUAAAGAAACUAUACAUGCACAAAAAUGAUUGUGCUUUUCCCUCUUUACUGUGCUAGGCUUUAAAGUCUAAUAGAGUGAGGCUGAAAGUGAUGGCUAGAAGGACUUUUCCUCAUGUUUCUUAUUGAGGCUCUAUAGGGUUUAUUGCCACUACCUAAAACAAUGUAUUUUCUGGUGAUAAGAGGAAAUUUUUAAAAUUUACCCUUUCUUGGAAUUCCCUCUGUGGUACAAUGGAAUCGGCAAUGUCUCUGGAGUGCUGGAAUGCAGGUUCCAUCCCAAACAUGGCACAAUGGGUUAAGGAUCUGGCAUUGAUGCAGCAUAGGUUACAACUGUGGCUUGGAUCUGAUCCCUGGCCCAGGAACUCAACAUGCCUCAGGGUGGCCAAAAAAGGAAAAAAAAAAUUAAGAAUAAUGGUAGGUAAAGAAGAGCAGUUCUUAAAGUCUAGUGAUAAUUUUAAUAUCAAGCAUCUGAAUAUGUUUCUAUCAUGGAUUCUAAACACAUAAUAUACUACAAUAAAAAGGCUAUAGACUGUUUCAUGUAAUAAAUGUUCCAUAUGCAAUAAUAGCGACGUUGUGUCUAGACAAUAUGAUGAGCUUCCCAAGGCUGCUGAGCUCACAGAAUUAAUUUUAGGAUCUCUAUGACAUAUCUAAGGCAAUUCAGGAAGUAACAAUUUAUAGAAAAACUGCAUGACAAAUUCAACACCUUUAUUAUUUAUCAGUACCAGUUACUGCCCAAAGAGGAUACUUUUGGAACAGUUGUGAUGUUAUAUAAGAAUAUGUGUUCCUUUUUUUUUUUUUUUUGAGAAUCUUCAGGUAACGUUCAUGUCCAAAUGAGAAUGCUUAUAAUUCACUUCAAUUUUUACUUUCUCAUCAGAUACAACAAACAAUCCUAUUACUUCAUAUUUUUUCUUUAUUUAAACUCCUUUUCUUUACUUCUAGUAUCUUUGUUUCUACCUCAAUUCAAGCCUACUACAUAGUCACAUAGAUGUUAUAUUUCCAAUAGCUUCUAUCAUUUCCCCUUUUCAAAUAUUUCAGUCUAUUCCAUGCUUUGUUACUAGAGUAAUAAAAAAAUAAAUUAUCAUGUGACAGUCAUAGUCAAAAACCUUGAGAAUUCUAUGGCAAUGUUUCAGAUCAUGGUUUUGGAGGAAAAUAUAAAAAAUUUAAUGGUAAUUUGGUGGAUCUUUAAAAUCCCUAAGCUAGAGACAUCUGGGUUCAAUUCCAACAUGUAAAGUGCUUAUUACAAGAAAAAAGCCGUAUUAGCCAAAAGUGAACUACUUUUCUUGGACCUACCACAAAACUGAAAUUGCAGGGCAAACCACCUCCAGGAAAUAUGGAGAGACAGGUAAAUCCAGAGGGUCAUGGCUGAGAUAUGCCUUCCUGGAUGGAGCAGAAGCCACUGUAGAAAUAAACUGAUUGUGACACUUAAGUGGUAAUUGAAACAAAUUGCCAGAGGCUGAGUGUGAACUAGCAUGAGAGUAAGAAACAUUUAGGGACCACAGCCUUAGGAAUACCUAUACUUUUGUGUGUUUUAUACAAAAAACCUUACCAGAUUCUCACUAGUACAUCUGAUUAAGAUCCCUUAGUGACUCUGGCAGGAAGAGGGGAAAAGUAACCAAGCAAAGCUUGCCUAGAGCAUUCUCCAUAACAAAGCCUUGCUGUAAAGACUAUCAGACCCUUGUUCCACCUGAGGGAAAGGUAUUUUCCUGAUUCCAUCCCUCUCUAGUCUUGCUAUCCCACCAAAGUGGGUAAAGUUAUGUGGCACUUGUGAAGGACACAGCCCAGGUAUACAGGUCCUCCGAAAGACUGAUUUUAAUUACAAAACCAUAGUAAGCAUCUCUUCUUCCACACCUUACAACUGCAUUGGCAUGGCUUUGGUAUAAUAUUGGAUUAUUACACAGCUGAAAGAACUGAGGGAUACAGACUAUCUAAGAAGAAUUCUUACAAUAAUCUAAAGGCAACAGGAGAAACAAAAACAAGGAAACUAGAGGAAUUUCAAACCUAUGGCAACAUUAAACAAGCUUAACUCCUAGCCAGAUUAACAGAAAUCCUCAAACUGAAGGCUUAUUUACCUCAGUUCCCAUUAUCCAACACAUCAUGUCUAUAUUCAACAAACAAUUACAAGUCAUGCACAAAGGCAGGAACACAUGGGCUGAAGAGACACAAAACCAGAAUCAGAUAUGACAUAGACAUUGGAAUUAUUAGAUGGUAAAAACUUAAAAUAACUACAAUUACUAUGUUAAAAACUUCUGUGGAAACCAGACAGCAUACAAAAAAAUGGGUACUGUGGACUGAGAAAUAGAAAUUAUAAGGAUGAAAUUUUAAAUGCUAGAAAUAAAAAAUAUAGUAGUUGAAAUUAAAAAUACCUUUGAUGAGUUUAACAGUAGACUGGAAACAGAUGAGGAAAGAAUCAAUGAGCUUGAAGAUGGAUCCAUAUAAAGUCACCAAGCUGAAAUGC
rnacentral:lncRNA from 1 species